AUUGAACGCUGGCGGCACGCCUAACACAUGCACGUAGAACGAGUGGCGGACGGGUGCGUAAUGUCUGGGAAACUGCCUGAUGGAGGGGGAUGACUACUGGAAACGGUAGCUAAUACCGCAUACAAUCGGAUGUGCCCAGAUGGGAUUAGAUAGUAGGUGGGGUAAAGGCUCACCUAGGCGACGAUCCCUAGCUGGUCUGAGAGGAUGAACAGCCACACUGGAAAUGAGACACGGUCCAGAUUCCUACGGUAGGCAUCAGGGGGGAAUAGUGCACAAUGGGCGCAAGCCUGAUGCAGCCAUGCCGCGGGUAUGAAGAAGGCCGUCGGGUUGUAAAGUACUUUCAGCGAGGAGGCGUUACCCGCAGAAUAAGCUCCGGCUAACUCCGUGACAGCCGCCGCGGUAAUAC
rnacentral:rRNA from 1 species